GCAAGUCUGGUGCCAGCAGCCGCGGUAAUUCCAGCUCCAAUAGCGUAUAUUAAAGUUGUUGCAGUUAAAAAGCUCGUAGUUGAAUUUCGGGAUCAAUAUUUCGGUCAUGCCGUUGGUAUGCACUGUUAUCAUUGAUUUCUCACCUUCUAAAGAACCAUAAUGCCAUUAAUUUGGUGUUACGGGGAAUUAGGACUGUUACCUUGAAAAAAUUAGAGUGUUUAAAGCAGGCUCACGCUUGAAUACAUUAGCAUGGAAUAAUGAAAUAGGACAUCCGAUUCUAUUUUGUUGGUUUCUAGGAUCGAUGUAAUGAUUAAUAGGGAUAGUUGGGGGCAUUAGUAUUCAAUUGUCAGAGGUGAAAUUCUUGGAUUUAUUGAAGACUAACUACUGCGAAAGCAUUUGCCAAGAAUGUUUUCAUUAAUCAAGAACGAAAGUUAGGGGAUCGAAGACGAUCAGAUACCGUCGUAGUCUUAACCAUAAACUAUGCCGACUAGGGAUCGGAUGAUGUUAAUUUUUUAAUGACUCAUUCGGCGCCUUACGGGAAAC
rnacentral:rRNA from 1 species